rnacentral:tRNA from 1 species
AUUUAUAUAAUUUAAAAACAAAAUAUUACAUUUUCACUGUAAAAAUAAAAUAAUUCUAAAUUUUUAUAAAUA